rnacentral:rRNA from 1 species
UACGGAGGGGGCUAGCGUUGUUCGGAAUUACUGGGCGUAAAGCGCACGUAGGCGGCUUUGUAAGUUAGAGGUGAAAGCCCGGGGCUCAACUCCGGAAUUGCCUUUAAGACUGCAUCGCUAGAAUUGUGGAGAGGUAGGUGGAAUUCCGAGUGUAGAGGUGAAAUUCGUAGAUAUUCGGAAGAACACCAGUGGCGAAGGCGACUUACUGGACACAGUAUUGACGCUGAGGUGCGAAAAGCGUGGGGAGCAAACAGG